UACGGGGGGGGCAAGCGUUGUUCGGAAUUACUGGGCGUAAAGGGCUCGUAGGCGGCCAACUAAGUCAGACGUGAAAUCCCUCGGCUUAACCGGGGAACUGCGUCUGAUACUGGAUGGCUUGAGUUUGGGAGAGGGGCGCGGAAUUCCAGGUGUAGCGGUGAAAUGCGUAGAUAUCUGGAGGAACACCGGUGGCGAAGGCGGCAUCCUGGACCGGUAUUGACGCUGAUGCGCGAAAGCCAGGGGAGCAAACGGG
rnacentral:rRNA from 1 species